GAAGACAGUUGGAUUGUUGUUUUCUCCUGGACAUUUACACUUGCCUCACAUAGUGUGGAACUCAGAUGGACAGCAAAACUGAUCAGGGUGCAGGUCAAUCAUCAUGCUCAGGACACUGAAGAGUACAGUUGGAUUGUUGUUUGCUCCUCGACAUUCACACACGCCUCACAUACUGUAGUGUGGAACUCAGAUGGACAGCAAAACUGAUCAGGGUGCAGGCCAAUCAUCAUGCUACUCUGCAGGAGGUCUCGAGAGAAGAGUUCAGCGCCCUGCCCACUUGCAGACAACUCAACCAGAAGAAGAGUAGAGUAAAGGCCUCUUCUAAACCAACACUAUUUUACACAUUACACUUGCAUUGCUAGCAGUGUAUGCACAUGGAAACCUGUGUAUGACACUUAAAAAAAAACAACAACACUUUAUUUAUUCACAAGCAUUGAAUGAGUGAGUGAAAG